rnacentral:rRNA from 1 species
UACGAAGGGGGCUAGCGUUGCUCGGAAUCACUGGGCGUAAAGCGCACGUAGGCGGACUCUUAAGUCGGUGGUGAAAUCCUGGAGCUCAACUCCAGAACUGCCUUCGAUACUGAGAGUCUCGAGUCCGAGAGAGGUGAGUGGAACUGCGAGUGUAGAGGUGAAAUUCGUAGAUAUUCGCAAGAACACCAGUGGCGAAGGCGGCUCACUGGCUCGGUACUGACGCUGAGGUGCGAAAGCGUGGGGAGCAAACGGG